rnacentral:rRNA from 1 species
UACGUAGGGUGCGAGCGUUAAUCGGAAUUACUGGGCGUAAAGCGUGCGCAGGCGGUCUGUUAAGACCGAUGUGAAAUCCCCGGGCUUAACCUGGGAACUGCAUUGGUGACUGGCAGGCUUUGAGUGUGGCAGAGGGAGGUAGAAUUCCACGUGUAGCAGUGAAAUGCGUAGAGAUGUGGAGGAAUACCGAUGGCGAAGGCAGCCUCCUGGGCCAACACUGACGCUCAUGCACGAAAGCGUGGGGAGCAAAAGGG